rnacentral:rRNA from 1 species
AUUGAACGCUGGCGGCAGGCCUAACACAUGCAAGUCGAACGAGUGGCGGACGGGUGUGUAAUGUCUGGGAAUCUGCCUGAUGGAGGGGGAUCACUACUGGAAACUGUAGCUAAUACCGCAUACCAUCGGAUGUCCCCAGAUGGGAUUAGCUAGUUGGUGGGGUAAAGGCUCACCUAUGCCCCGAUCUCUAACUGGUCUGAGAGGAUGACCAGCCAGACUGGAACUGAGACACGGUCCAGACUCCUACGGGAGGCAGCAGUGGGGAAUAUUGGACAAUGGGGGAAAGCCUGAUGCAGCCGUGCCGCGUGUAUGAAGAAGGCCUUCGGGUUGUAAAGUACUUUAAGCGGGGAGGCGUUACCCGCAGAAGAAGCACCGGCUAACUCCGUGACAGCAGGCGCGGUAAUUC